rnacentral:rRNA from 1 species
GUAUGUGUGCCUGCUUUGUCCACAGCAUGUGCUGAAUGAAUCACAUUUCUUGCAACUGAAAUGCAAAUGGCAUGGUAAAGUUCAUGUGACAUGACACAUGUUUGAGAUUCAUGAUGUGCAAGUACCAUGAGGGAAAUGUGAAAAGGACUUUGGGAAGAGAAUUAAAUAAAGCCUGCAAUUGCUGGACAUGAAAGCAAGUGUAGACAUUCAUUGAAUUAUUACUGCAUCUCUACACCACCUUUAUGGUUACUGUAUGCUUUACAUUACAACACAAAUAAUAAAGUGUGUGUGUGUGUCUACUGUGCUUCAAAUGUUUCCACCUGGGAUCACUUGAAACAUUGUCUGAGCAUUCUUCAGUACAACUAUGUGUAAACCAGUAUAUUCCACUCUUUGUUGGCACACAUGUGAUGAUGAUGUGUUUAUGUGCCAUACUUCUGUGUUCACGAAACAUGUUGUGUACAUCUUCACUUGACCCG